CACAACCCCCAGCUGCAUGUACGAGCGGCGUUGCCACUGCCGCAGCCACCGGCGCAGCGUGCACGCUUCCUGCCGCCGGUCUCUGUCGUCGUCCGGACGUCCUCGUCGUCCUCCCCAGCCGCGGCCUUCGCGCGCAGCUGGUGGUGAGGAUGGUGGAGCUGGCUGCCAGCGGCAGCUGCAGCGGCACAGCCGCCGCCGCUGCUACCGCCAACGGAGCCGGCGCGAGUACUGCUCGUCG
rnacentral:lncRNA from 1 species